AAACCAACAGGGAUUGCCUCAGUAGCGGCGAGUGAAGCGGCAAGAGCUCAGAUUUGAAAUCGUGCUUUGCGGCACGAGUUGUAGAUUGCAGGUUGGAGUCUGUGUGGAAGGCGGUGUCCAAGUCCCUUGGAACAGGGCGCCCAGGAGGGUGAGAGCCCCGUGGGAUGCCGGCGGAAGCAGUGAGGCCCUUCUGACGAGUCGAGUUGUUUGGGAAUGCAGCUCCAAGCGGGUGGUAAAUUCCAUCCAAGGCUAAAUACUGGCGAGAGACCGAUAGCGAACAAGUACUGUGAAGGAAAGAUGAAAAGCACUUUGAAAAGAGAGUGAAACAGCACGUGAAAUUGUUGAAAGGGAAGGGUAUUGCGCCCGACAUGGGGAUUGCGCACCGCUGCCUCUCGUGGGCGGCGCUCUGGGCUUUCCCUGGGCCAGCAUCGGUUCUUGCUGCAGGAGAAGGGGUUCUGGAACGUGGCUCUUCGGAGUGUUAUAGCCAGGGCCAGAUGCUGCGUGCGGGGACCGAGGACUGCGGCCGUGUAGGUCACGGAUGCUGGCAGAACGGCGCAACACCGC
rnacentral:rRNA from 1 species